rnacentral:ncRNA from 1 species
AAAUUCGCUAUGAUAAGAAAGAGUACACAGAUUAUCUAUUUCUUAGAGAGAAACUGGCUGGUGUAAAGUUUCAAAUAGACCUGUGGAAUACACCUUGGAGCUUCAAUUUUGACGUAUACCUGCGUUAAAGGUUUAAGUGCAUACAAAAAAUAUUUUGUAUGAAGUAAGGUGGUACCGCGAUCAAAUCGUCCUUAUU